AGGUGGGAUCAUACCAUCACUAAUGAAUCGUAUCCUAUCAGAACUCCACAACUAAGUGUGCUUGGGCGAGAGUAGUACUAGGAUGAGUGACCUCUUGGGAAGUCCUCGUGUUGCACCUC
rfam:Lupinus angustifolius cultivar Tanjil chromosome LG15, whole genome shotgun sequence.